rnacentral:rRNA from 1 species
UACGAAGGGGGCUAGCGUUGCUCGGAAUUACUGGGCGUAAAGGGCGCGUAGGCGGGUUGCUAAGUUAGAGGUGAAAGCCCAGGGCUCAACCCUGGAAUUGCCUUUAAUACUGGCAGCCUUGAGUAUGGCAGAGGUGUGUGGAACUCCGAGUGUAGAGGUGAAAUUCGUAGAUAUUCGGAAGAACACCAGUGGCGAAGGCGACACAUUGGGCCAUUACUGACGCUGAGGCGCGAAAGCGUGGGGAGCAAACAGG